AUUGAACGCUGGCGGCAGGCUUAACACAUGCAAGUCGAGCGGGGUGAUGGUGCUUGCACUAUCACUUAGCGGCGGACGGGUGAGUAAUGCUUAGGAAUCUGCCUAUUAGUGGGGGACAACAUCUCGAAAGGGAUGCUAAUACCGCAUACGUCCUACGGGAGAAAGCAGGGGAUCACUUGUGACCUUGCGCUAAUAGAUGAGCCUAAGUCGGAUUAGCUAGUUGGUGGGGUAAAGGCCUACCAAGGCGACGAUCUGUAGCGGGUCUGAGAGGAUGAUCCGCCACACUGGGACUGAGACACUGCCCAGAGUCCUACGGGAGGCAGCAGUGGGGAAUAUUGGACAAUGGGGGGAAGCCUGAUCCAGCCAUGCCGCGUGUGUGAAGAAGGCCUUAUGGUUGUAAAGCACUUUAAGCGAGGAGGAGGCUCUUUUGGUUAAUACCCAAGAUGAGUGGACGUUACUCGCAGAAUAAGCACCGGCUAACUCUGUGCCAGCCGCCGCGGUAA
rnacentral:rRNA from 1 species